AUUGAACGCUGGCGGCAGGCCUAACACAUGCAAGUCGAACGAGUGGCGGACGGGUGAGUAAUGUCUGGGAAACUGCCUGAUGGAGGGGGAUAACUACUGGAAAAGGUAGCUAAUACCGCAUAACAUCAGAUGGGCCCAGAUGGGAUUAGCUAGUUGGAGGGGUAAAGGUCCACCAAGGCGAAGUACCCUAGCUGGUCUGAGAGGAUGACCAGCCACACUGUGACUGAGACACGGUCCAGACUCCUACGGGAGGCAGCAGUGGGGAAUAUUGCACAAUGGGCGCAAGCCUGAUGCAGCCAUGCCGCGUGUAUGAAGAAGGCCUUCGGGUUGUAAAGUACUUUCAGCGGGGAGGCGUUACCCGCAGAAGAAGCACCGGCUAACUCCGUGCCAGCAGCCGCGGUAAUUC
rnacentral:rRNA from 1 species